AAAAUUUUUCUGUUCAAAACUGUUUGACUGGUAGUGUAUAAUUAUAAAAUAAAACACAAAUUAUAACGGCAUUCAUUGUUAAUAACACAGGCCUAUAAACAGCUAGCAGUGCUAUAAAUGAUAUGUUGUGUGCGUGAGAGGCUCCGGCGUGAUCACAGAUAUUUUCCAUAUCACUGCAGGAAAAAAUUAAAUAAUCUGUGAUAUUUGGUAAGCAAACAGUAUGCGCUUUCAGCCGCCUCUGUUUCCUCAAACUUGUGGUGCAGCUGUAAAGAUUAAACAAAACACUUCUUUUCUAUUUUUUGUUCCUUUUGUUAUGUUAAUUCGUUAAGUAUUUAACUGAAACUAAUUUGGUGUAGGCCUGUUUUAUUAUUAUUAUUAUUAUUAGUGAUCGACCGAUAUUAAUUGUUUUAUAACCAAUACCAAUUAUUUGCAUGUUUGCCCGAUAAUCGAUAUGCAGAACCGAUAUUUAUUUACUGUUGUGAAGUACAUAAUUGACUGAGUGAAGUAAGAACAUACUUCAUUUAGUUUUUUCCUCUUUUCAGUCAUCUUUUUAAAAAAAAGUGUUAAAAAUUUGCAGUCUUUCAUGUUAAAUUUAAUCUUCAUAUUACAACAGUAAAACACAUUUUAUUUAUAAAAAAGCAUCAACGGCAACAACACUACUAACAAUAAACAAAAUAAAUGUAGGAUGGAGAAAAUAAAUAAAUGACAGGAGUCAUAUCAACUUCAUUUUAAACUACAGUUUUAGCAGGUUUAUAAGCCGUUUAAUAGCUACAGAGUUAAUAAUAAUUCACUGGAUAAUGUUAAUAAUAGUGAUCGCUCACGGAGAUAAUAAAUAGGCUAAUUCAUUUCCAUAGAGUUGUAUUUAUUUAGAUGUUUAUUAGCAAAAAAAUAAUGGUUAUAAAGUAAAUGUUAAUACAAUUUAGGGUGUUUUAAACAAGUGAAUCUUGUUAAAAGUUACAUGCGGUGGCCGUGCUGGAAUAUUUCCGUGAACGGCAAUAUGAAAGCGGCUUCACGAGACUAUGAUGAGCAAAUAUACAACAGAGAGAGAAUUCAAUUCAGCGCUUUUAUUUACAACAUGUGCUCAUUACUGGCUGCAUGUUAUUUAAUUCAGGCAAAGUUACGUCUUUAUUGGGACAGGACUUGAAGGAUUAUUUUACAUGCCUCCGUGAGUUGAUCUCUAUUUCUUAGAGCCAAGCUGCAUAAACUACAUAUCAAGCAUUUAUUUUAAUGCAUCUAAUUUGUUCAUAAAUAUGUUUAAUAAAGUUGACUAACUACAGCAAAUCAGGUACCUGGAUGCGGUUUUUGUUGUCUAGUCUCCCCUCAGACGCGCUGUAAUGGCGAUCCUGUGUAUCGGUGAAUUCAAUUCAAGUUUAUUUGUAUAGCGCUUUUUACGAUACAAAUCAUUGCAAAGCAACUUUACAGAAAAUUAAGUUUAUACAAUAUUUAGUAGUAGCUUAUCAGUGAUGACUUCAGUUUAUGUGCAUACGGCAGAAAUGUUCAGAAAAAUCAAUAAAAGACAUAAACAAACAGACGAUUAACACUAUUAACAGCAAUUAUGCAAUCAAACUUAUAGCAAAAUGUGGUAGUUCUGUAUGUUGAUGAAUCCGAUAUUACAAAACCGAUAUCCGAUUAUGGAAAAUGCUUAAAUAUCGGGGAAAAUAUUGGUAAAUCGAUAUAUCGGUCGAUCUCUAAUUAUUAUUCCUAUCAUAUGUCAUUUUAUUCUUUUUUCUUCUGUUGUUUAUGCGCAUGCAAAACUGAAAAAAGCUGAAAAAAGAAAAACAUUUAGGCUAUUUUUAAAGGGUCACAUACACUUAUCCAUUGUAACGGAAUUUAAAUCUAAUUUAAUAUUCUGAUGUUGCCGGGUAACGGAUAGGAAAUGAACUUCGUAAUGUUUAAGAAUGAGCCCAGUCAGCGGAGAGCCGGCGGUCUUUAGUGGAUGUUUUCGACUACCUCUGGAAGUGCUCAAAAGUGGACAAGCUCGAGACAUUUAACACCCCUUUCACGCAUGUAUUUAGCGACGUCUGCUUGUGAUUAGAUUGGCGAAAACGCAUCUUAAUAUCAGGUGUAAACAGGGUUUUGUACUCUUUGUACAAGUACUUUUGAAUUUACUAACAAACUGCAUCUGCCAAUGAGAUCUUAUUCAUUACACGAUGACAAAUAAAAAACUGCUUCCGGGGGUGAUUUUUAAUAGCGUCAUUUUGGAUGGAGCAAUCGUGCUAAAUGAAUAAAGACGUAUUAGAUUGGAGGUCCAAAAUGCAACGACUGCUUUUUAAUGCCUGUCUAACGCUAAAAAAUAGCCCAUCAGUAUCAGAUUUAUUCUGAUGUUUAGAAAAAUGUGUUUUGGAAUGUAAUUAUGUGUUUACAGUACUAGUGUAUGUAGUGUAAACUCUGCUCCUCCUUAUGAACUAAAUCCAUCGCUAAAUUUGGAAAUGCCAUUCAUCAUUGGGUUAAAUUACAGUUUUUAUUUAGCUUUCAAAGUGGAGAAAGUGCCUGAGUCCAGCAUUCAUUCCUGAAUGAUUAGAAAGGUGAAGAAAUUUGGGUGAGGUUUUUUCAAAGUAAUAUUGUUCAUGUCAUGUUGGAGUGUCUAUUUUUGUAGUGCAUUGGAUGUAUGAUGUCGAUUGAAGGGUCGGGGCAUGUUGAGAAGAUGAUCUGUAAAGGGACGUACCCUCAAGCAAGGUCUUUCAUCAAAGUAAUAGCAAAUUGGAACAUUUUUGGUAUGUGUAUAUGGUUUGCAGCUUUAUUUUGUUUAUGGAAAUAUGCAAGAUAUUGCAUCGAAUGGUGUAGGAACCGAAGGUUUGAGUUUGCGUAACUAUUGGCGUACAUAUUCUUUCAUUUGAGUUGCAUCCCAGACAUUCAGUUUUAUCCGUGUUUGUUAAGUGCUCUUAAUUUUUCUUUUCCUCUCUUUAGGAAAGUUAAUGGAAUUUAACUUUAGAUUUUUCAUCGCAUUUGCUUUUAUCUCAUCUCUCAAAAAUGUUAGAAUCCAAAUCAAAGUAGGCUUUGAUGAACUACCUCACUCUAAAUUUCUACAGUGUGUUUUUUUUUUUUUUUUUUUUUUUGGCGACGUAGCUGCCCGUAAGAUGGAUGUUAAUACGGAUUUCAUUAUUUAUUUAUUUCUAAAGUGAACUAUUGUCAAUAGUAGGCAACGUAUAGUUUUGUACAUUAUGUAUACUUCACCUAGAGGUCAACGAAUUGAAAUGUAAAUUUGAUCUUUUUUGUUUAAUUUUACUUUGUACUCAUUUUUUACAGUUCAUGUGCAAUACCCACUGCUGUCAUGCUCGUUGUAAUCAAUAGAUCUAGACUUAUUAGUUUUAUGUACCCAGAGGUAGAGACAUGUUUGGUACUGUCAAAUAAAUUCAUGUUUUUAAUCUUUUUUUUUUUUUUUUUUCUUUGGCUUAUAUUGUCAAUGUUACAUAAUCCAUCUUACCAAAAAUGAAAAUCUGUGGCUGAUGUUUGCAAGUUGUUAUGUUUAGCCACUGGAUUUUGAUCAUCCUGGUAAGUCCCAUUUAAAAGCAUCUGCAAAAUAUCAUGAAUUACCAACGUGUUAAGAUGUGGUGCUGGUAUGUAAUAUUUGCUAGCAAUGCCAGCCCAACAGUUAGUUAUAAACUGCUAGGUCUGUGUGCACUAAACGGCAUACAGACGCUGAGAAGUGCACUACUACAAAGAAUGCGCUGGGAUCCUAUGAUACCAAUUGUACAUGUACUGCAAAUAAACACCAGUUUGAAUCAGAA
ensembl:lncRNA